rnacentral:lncRNA from 1 species
CUUGAAAAGAUUCAAGCAUGGUAUAAACCUCUCUCAAAUGAAUCUCAACAAUCUUAUCAUUAUCUCCUAACCCAAUAGAUGUAAUCAAUUCCAAUGAAUCUUCUAGUCCAUUUUCUUCAUAAACACCCAAAAUCCUCUCAUCAUCUUGUAAUGUACCUAUCUUGCGUAACUGUCCUUCAAUAUCAUAUAAUCUUUUUCUUUCUUUUCUUUUAAAAUCAUCAACUUUCUUAUACAUAAUAUUUCCAUUCUCCAAUAUACCAAUAAAACUCGCAUCAAAGGCACCUUC